AUACUUACUUGGCAGGAAGAAUAUUAAGGUCAAUAAGGUGAUUUCCCCAGGGUGAAGCUCUUCCAUUACACAUUUCAGUUGGGUUGAUCCCUGUGAUUUCUCCAAAUGUGGGAAACUCAACUGCAUAACUACUUUAAUGCAUUUAAUACAAAUGUGUAUAACUUAG